rnacentral:rRNA from 1 species
GAUGAACGCUGGCGGCGUGCCUAAUACAUGCAAGUCGAGCGAACAGACGAGGAGCUUGCUCCUCUGACGUUAGCGGCGGACGGGUGAGUAACACGUGGAUAACCUACCUAUAAGACUGGGAUAACUUCGGGAAACCGGAGCUAAUACCGGAUAAUAUAUUGAACCGCAUGGUUCAAUAGUGAAAGACGGUUUUGCUGUCACUUAUGGAUGGAUCAGCGCCGCAUUAGCUAGUUGGUAAGGUAACGGCUUACCAAGGCAACGAUGCGUAGCCGACCUGAGAGGGUGAUCGGCAACACUGGAACUGAGACACGGUCCAGACUCCUACGGGAGGCAGCAGUAGGGAAUCUUCCGCAAUGGGCGAAAGCCUGACGGAGCAACGCCGCGUGAGUGAUGAAGGUCUUCGGAUCGUAAAACUCUGUUAUUAGGGAAGAACAAAUGUGUAAGUAACUAUGCACGUCUUGACGGUACCUAAUCAGAAAGCCACGGCUAACUACGUGCCAGCAGCCGCAGUAA